UACGGGGGGAGCAAGCGUUGUUCGGAUUUACUGGGCGUAAAGGGCGCGUAGGCGGUCGUGACAAGUCACAUGUGAAAUCUCCGGGCUUAACUCGGAACGGUCAAGUGAUACUGUCGGACUAGAGUACAGAAGGGGCAACUGGAAUUCUCGGUGUAGCGGUGAAAUGCGUAGAUAUCGAGAGGAACACCUGCGGCGAAGGCGGGUUGCUGGGCUGAUACUGACGCUGAGGCGCGAAAGCCAGGGGAGCGAACGGG
rnacentral:rRNA from 1 species